CUGACUUGGGGCACUGGUUAAUUCUUCACAUGCAGGAACGUGGAGAGAUGGUGGGCUCCAAGCCCAUGGUGAUUUUAUUGUGCUUGCAGCUUGAGAUGUACUUGGUCCAAAUGAAAAUCAUCAUUUUGAAGGGCAACUUCGCAUGGAAUUAGGAUCACUUAAUAAGGUUCUGGUUUCUUUUUCAAAUUCACUUGCUUUAUGCAUGAACCUAUUAUAGAUUUUUUGGUGUUGAUUUGCAGUAAGAGCAAAUGUAAUAUUGUUCUCAUCAAUUUCUUUCAUAGCAUGUGUAAUGCGUUAUAACAUCAGUUUCAUUGGAUUGGAAAAGUUGAUAAACAUGCAACCAUUCUUACUCGAUGAUAUGAAUACUUCAGGAGCAAUAGUGGCAUUUGUUUGCACAUUAGUAUUCCAUUAUGUAGUAAAGGAUAUGGUCUGGUAGUCAUUCUUUAUCGUUAUAGUUAUUGUCAAAUGGUGGAAUAUUGCCGCCUAGCAGCUCUGGUUCAUGUGUGUGUGAAAAACAAUGUAAAAUCAUUUUUGUUGCUGUAGAAUCUCAUGAGUCGUAUGAAAAAGAAGGCUAGGAUAUUUAUAUUUUUUAAUUGUUCAGCUGCUUGUGUUACAGAUCUGGGCAUACCUUUUGUUUGAGAUAAAUUUGGGCAUAAAUUGUCACAAAUAAAUGGGUGGCGUUGGGUCAAGGUUCAGGACCCCAGGGGCAUCAUGCUUCUUUUGAGCCACAUGGGGAGAAUUACAUCCAUGUAUUAGAAAAACUAGGUGCCCGCUUAAACAGAAAAAAUACAACUCUUGCUGACCGGGAGCUUCAUGGUAGUGGCUAGAAUUUAAUCAGAGAUCCAUGUACAUGUUGAUUGUUAUGAAACCAUGCGAUGGAAUCUUGAUGUUGACAAUGUCCAGAAAUCUGAUUCGUCGGAGACAAAAUCCAACCUUAAUUCCCCCAUUCAGAUCAUGAAAUAUUGGGGUUAACAGUUUGCGAUGUAAGAUGGGUUGAGAUCUGCUAUACGUUAACUUUCUUUUGUUCAAAUGUUUUCUUUUGUUUUGAAACCUUAAUGUUUUC